ACACUGGGAUUGAGAUACGGCCCAGACUCCUACGGGAGGCAGCAGUCGAGAAUAGUCUACAAUGGACGAAAGUCUGAUAGUGCGACGCCGCGUGAACGAAGAAUCCCUUCGGGGUGUAAAGUUCUUUUAUAUGUGAGCAAUGCUUUUUAUGUGAAUAGCAUGAGAAGAGAGAUAUUAGCAU
rnacentral:rRNA from 1 species